UACAUAGGGGGCGAGCGUUAUCCGGAUUUACUGGGCGUAAAGGGUGCGUAGGUGGUUAUAAAAGUUUGUGGUGUAAGUGCAGUGCUUAACGCUGUGAGGCUAUGAAAACUAUAUAACUAGAGUGAGACAGAGGCAAGUGGAAUUCCAUGUGUAGCGGUAAAAUGCGUAAAUAUAUGGAGGAACACCAGUGGCGAAGGCGGCUUGCUGGGUCUAUACUGACACUGAUGCACGAAAGCGUGGGGAGCAAACA
rnacentral:rRNA from 1 species